GCCCGCCAACACGCUCGGCUAAUUUUUUUUACUUUUAGUAGAGAUGGGGUUUUACCGUGUUAGCCAGGAUGGUCUCGAUUUCCUGACCUCGUGAUCCGCCCGCCUUGGCCUCGCAAAGUGCUGGGAUUACAGGCAUAAGCCACCGCGCCCGGCCAAAAAAGCCUAAUUCUUACCACCUGGAACUGCACCAAAAACCAAAACCAAGGUAGGGGCAAGAUGAUAAUCACAGAAUGUCACCGGUAUAUGUUUAGGUUCAAAUACUAUUAUGAGAAGUGGCAGGUAAAGGAGGUAGGAAAAAGAAAACACAUCAUGUAAUUGACUGUUGUAUGGAAAUAUUUGAUGCUGAAAGUUAUAAUUUAAAACUAUAAACCAAAUAUUAGAAGUGUGUCUAUUUCAAAGGGAGGAAAACCAUCAAAAACAUUUUUAGUGCAAUAUUUAACAUGAGCUAUACAACCCUUCCUAAAUGCCAAAGGCACACACAGACACACACACAGACACACACACACACACUCACACUCACGAAGAAUACAAAUGACUAGAACCAAGCAAUGUAAAUACAUUCUGCUACGUAUGGUAAACAUAGCCUACAAUGUGGAAGAGAUUAGAAAAUAAACAUGGAAAUGAAAUGUUUUUAUUAAUUCGCAUCAGUACCCACCAAAACCAAUCAGC
rnacentral:lncRNA from 1 species